rnacentral:rRNA from 1 species
UGGGGAAUUUUCCGCAAUGGGCGAAAGCCUGACGGAGCAAUACCGCGUGAGGGAGGAAGGCCUUUGGGUUGUAAACCUCUUUUCUCAAGGAAGAAGUUCUGACGGUACUUGAGGAAUCAGCAUCGGCUAACUCCGUGCCAGCAGCCGCGGUAAUACGGAGGAUGCAAGCGUUAUCCGGAAUUAUUGGGCGUAAAGCGUCCGCAGGCGGUUUCACAAGUCUGCUGUCAAAGACUGGAGCUUAACUCCGGGCAGGCGGUGGAAACUGUGAAACUAGAGUACGGUAGGGGUAGAGGGAAUUCCCAGUGUAGCGGUGAAAUGCGUAGAGAUUGGGAAGAACACCAGUGGCGAAGGCGCUCUACUGGGCCGUAACUGACGCUCAGGGACGAAAGCUAGGGGAGCGAAUGGGAUUAGAUACCCCUGUAGUCCUAGCUGUAAACGAUGGAUACUAGGCGUUGCUUGUAUCGACCCGAGCAGUGCCGCAGCUAACGCGUUAAGUAUCCCGCCUGGGG